rnacentral:lncRNA from 1 species
GCUCCCGCUCCACGCCCGUUUCCCAGGCGGCUGCGGUGGCGCCCGGAGAAGGUCCCGCGGGAGGUUUCCCGGCACGCGGCGGGCAGGCCGGUCUCGCCUCUCGGUGCUCAGCGGCGCCUGGACCGACACGGCCCCCGCGGGUGUUUUCCAGACGUGUUCGUACCCGGAGCCUCUGCGUGGAAGAGCGCGUUCGUCGCGACCCUGCCGCUGCUGUUGGUCCUCGCGGCGCUGGCGCUGGGCGUCCUCCGGAAGCAGCGGAGAAGCCGAGAAAAGCUGAGGAAGCAGGCGGAGAAGAGACAAGGUGAGCGGGGACAGGGCGUUCUGCACGCACCUGCCCAAGUGCCAAAACCCGCCGUCAUCUAAAGGCUGUGGGUCCCGUUACGAGGGUUUAUUCCAGCGCGAGGUGUCAGGGCGGCCACCGGGGAACGGGGAUCGGUGACCCCGGUGGGGAAGGGGGAAGAUCGUUCAUAUGGACAAAAGCGGAGGUGCGGAACGGCUGCAUUUUCCACGGAGGCUAGUGCACAGAUGUCAGGGUUGACCGGCUGCUGUCGUUACGCCCUCGGAGCUUCACAUCACACUGUACAGAGGGAGCGGUGACCAGGGUCUCUGCU